rnacentral:tRNA from 1 species
GCACUGGUGGUGAGCGGGGACUUCAAUUCCGGGCUCGG